rnacentral:rRNA from 1 species
UACGUAGGGCGCAAGCGUUAUCCGGAAUUAUUGGGCGUAAAGAGCUCGUAGGCGGUUUGUCGCGUCUGCCGUGAAAGUCCGGGGCUCAACUCCGGAUCUGCGGUGGGUACGGGCAGACUAGAGUGAUGUAGGGGAGACUGGAAUUCCUGGUGUAGCGGUGAAAUGCGCAGAUAUCAGGAGGAACACCGAUGGCGAAGGCAGGUCUCUGGGCAUUAACUGACGCUGAGGCACGAAAGCGUGGGUAUCAAACAGG